rnacentral:rRNA from 1 species
CUGAGGGAAAAGGAGCAAUCCGCUUUGAGAUGGCCUCGCGUCCGAUUAGCUAGUUGGUGAGGUAACGGCCCACCAAGGCGACGAUCGGUAGCCGGACUGAGAGGUUGAACGGCCACAUUGGGACUGAGACACGGCCCAGACUCCUACGGGAGGCAGCAGUGGGGAAUAUUGCACAAUGGGGGAAACCCUGAUGCAGCGACGCCGCGUGGAGGAAGAAGGUCUUCGGAUUGUAAACUCCUGUUGUUGGGGAAAAGAAGGAUGGUACCCAACAAGGAAGUGACGGCUAACUACGUGCCAGCAGCCGCGGUAAAACGUAGGUCACGAGCGUUGUCCGGAAUUACUGGGUGUAAAGGGAGCGCAGGCGGGUAUGCAAGUUGGGAGUGAAAUACAUGGGCUCAACCCAUGAACUGCUCUCAAAACUGUGUAUCUUGAGUAGUGCAGAGGUAGGCGGAAUUCCCGGUGUAGCGGUGGAAUGCGUAGAUAUCGGGAGGAACACCAGUGGCGAAGGCGGCCUACUGGGCACCAACUGACGCUGAGGCUCGAAAGUGUGGGUAGCAAACAGGAUUAGAUACCCUGGUAGUCCACACCGUAAACGAUGAUUACUAGGUGUUGGAGGAUAGACCCCUUCAGUGCCGCAGUUAAC